rnacentral:rRNA from 1 species
UACGGAGGGCGCAAGCGGUGUUCGGAAUUACUGAGCGUAAAGCGCGCGUAGGCGGACCUGCAAGUCGGGGGUGAAAGCCCGAGGCUCAACCUCGGAACUGCCUUCGAUACUGCGGGUCUCGAGUCCGGGAGAGGUGAGUGGAAUUCCUAGUGUAGAGGUGAAAUUCGUAGAUAUUAGGAAGAACACCAGUGGCGAAGGCGGCUCACUGGCCCGGUACUGACGCUGAGGUGCGAAAGCGUGGGGAGCAAACAGG